ACCAGACUCCUACGGGAGGCAGCAGUGGGGGAUAUUGGACAAUGGGGGAAACCCUGAUCCAGCGACGCCGCGUGAGUGAAGAAGUAUUUCGGUAUGUAAAGCUCUGUCAGCAGGGAAGAAAGAAAUGACGGUACCUGACCAAGAAGCCCCGGCUAACUACGUGCCAGCAGCCGCGGUAAUACGUAGGGGGCAAGCGUUAUCCGGAAUUACUGGGUGUAAAGGGAGCGUAGACGGCCAUGCAAGUCUGAUGUGAAAACCCGGGGCUCAACCCCGGGACUGCAUUGGAAACUGUGCGGCUGGAGUGUCGGAGAGGCAAGUGGAAUUCCUAGUGUAGCGGUGAAAUGCGUAGAUAUUAGGAGGAACACCAGUGGCGAAGGCGGCUUGCUGGACGACGACUGACGUUGAGGCUCGAAAGCGUGGGGAGCAAACAGGAUUAGAUACCCUUGUAC
rnacentral:rRNA from 1 species